UACAGAGGUGGCAAGCGUUGUUCGGAAUUACUGGGCGUAAAGGGCGCGUAGGCGGCCUACUAAGUCAGACGUGAAAUCCCCCGGCUUAACCUGGGAACUGCGUCUGAUACUGGAAGGCUUGAGGAUGGGAGAGGGAUGUAGAAUUCCAGGUGUAGCGGUGAAAUGCGUAGAUAUCUGGAGGAAUACCGGUGGCGAAGGCGGCAUCCUGGGCCGACACUGACGCGUCAGGCACGAAAGCGUGGGGAGCAAACAGG
rnacentral:rRNA from 1 species